rnacentral:rRNA from 1 species
AUUUAGAAAAAGUAUUUGAUGAACAAGCCAGAUCCCGUCUGAUCUCGGAAGCUAAGCAGGGUUACACCUGGUUAGUACUUGGAUGGGAGACCACCUAAGAAGACCAGGUGCUGUAGAUG